rnacentral:rRNA from 1 species
AGUGAACGCUGGCGGUAGGCCUAACACAUGCAAGUCGAACGGCAGCACAGUAAGAGCUUGCUCUUACGGGUGGCGAGUGGCGGACGGGUGAGGAAUACAUCGGAAUCUACUUUUUCGUGGGGGAUAACGUAGGGAAACUUACGCUAAUACCGCAUACGACCUACGGGUGAAAGCAGGGGAUCUUCGGACCUUGCGCGAUUGAAUGAGCCGAUGUUGGAUUAGCUAGUUGGCGGGGUAAAGGCCCACCAAGGCGACGAUCCGUAGCUGGUCUGAGAGGAUGGACCGCCCACACUGGAAUGGGGAACGGGUCCAGACUCCUACGGGAGGCGCAGGAGGGGAAUAUUGGACAAUGGGCGCAAUCCUGAUCCACCCAUACCGCGUGGUGGAGGAAGGCCUUCGGGUGGUAAAGCCCGUUUGUAGGGAAAGAAAAGCAGCAGGGUAAUACCCCGCUGUUGUGACGGUACCCAAAGAAUAAGCACCGGCUAACUUCGUG